rnacentral:rRNA from 1 species
AUACGGAGGGUGCAAGCGUUAUUCGGAAUCACUGGGCGUAAAGGACGCGUAGGCGGGUUGGCAAGUCAGAUGUGAAAUCCUACAGCUUAACUGUAGAACUGCAUUUGAAACUGCUAACCUAGAGUAUGGGAGGGGGAGAUGGAAUUAGUGGUGUAGGGGUAAAAUCCGUAGAUAUCACUAGGAAUACCGAAAGCGAAGGCGAUUUCCUGGAACAUAACUGACGCUAAGGCGUGAAAGCGUGGGGAGCAAACAGGAUUAGAUACCCUAGUAGUCC